rnacentral:rRNA from 1 species
AUUGAACGCUGGCGGCAUGCCUUACACAUGCAAGUCGAACGGCAGCACGGGUGCUUGCACCUGGUGGCGAGUGGCGAACGGGUGAGUAAUACAUCGGAACAUGUCCUGUAGUGGGGGAUAGCCCGGCGAAAGCCGGAUUAAUACCGCAUACGAUCUACGGAUGAAAGCGGGGGACCUUCGGGCCUCGCGCUAUAGGGUUGGCCGAUGGCUGAUUAGCUAGUUGGUGGGGUAAAGGCCUACCAAGGCGACGAUCAGUAGCUGGUCUGAGAGGACGACCAGCCACACUGGGACUGAGACACGGCCCAGACUCCUACGGGAGGCAGCAGUGGGGAAUUUUGGACAAUGGGCGAAAGACUGAUCCAGCAAUGCCGCGUGUGUGAAGAAGGCCUUCGGGUUGUAAAGCACUUUUGUCCGGAAAGAAAUCCUUGGCCCUAAUACGGUCGGGGGAUGACGGUACCGGAAGAAUAAGCACCGGCUAACUACGUG